UAUCAGGCAACCUAUCCAAGCUGUCCAUGCUCUCUCUGUAGCGCCGGACGGUCAUCAGGUCGCCAACAGGAUAACUUUCACCGACGGUCGCUGUUCGGUUCCUAAAUAACUGUUUCAGCAACAUUAAGGGGAAGGACAAUU
rnacentral:snoRNA from 10 species